GCAACAGCUCAAAUUUGAAAUCUGGCGCAAGCCCGAGUUGUAAUUUGCAGAGGAUGUUUCGGGUGAAGCCACGGUCCAAGUCCCUUGGAACAGGACGUCAUAGAGGGUGAGAACCCCGUACCUGGCCGUCGGUGCCCCCCGCUGUGAAACUCCUUCGACGAGUCGAGUUGUUUGGGAAUGCAGCUCUAAAUUGGUGGUAAAUUCCAUCUAAAGCUAAAUACCGGCCAGAGACCGAUAGCGCACAAGUAGAGUGAUCGAAAGAUGAAAAGCACUUUGAAAAGAGAGUUAAAAAGUACGUGAAAUUGUUGAAAGGGAAGCGCUUGCGGCCAGACUUGCCCGCGGUUGCUCAGCCCGCCCUUUGGCGGGUGCACUCUUCCGCGGUCAGGCCAGCAUCGGUUUGGGCGGCCGGAUAAAGGCGUUGGGAACGUAGCCUCCCCUCGGGGAGGUGUUAUAGCCCGGCGCGCAAUGCGACCAGCCCGGACCGAGGUUCGCGCUCUGCUAGGAUGCUGGCGUAAUGGCCGUAAGCGGCCCGUCUUGAAACACGGACCAAGGAGUCUAACAUCUAUGCGAGUGUUUGGGUGUCAAACCCGUGCGCGUAAUGAAAGUGAACGGAGGUGGGAACCGCAAGGUGCACCAUCGACCGAUCCUGAUGUCUUCGGAAGGAUUUGAGUAAGAGCAUAGCUGUUGGGACCCGAAAGAUGGUGAACUAUGCGUGAAUAGGGUGAAGCCAGAGGAAACUCUGGUGGAGCUCGCAGCGGUUCUGACGUGCAAAUCGAUCGUCAA
rnacentral:rRNA from 1 species